rnacentral:rRNA from 1 species
AGAGUUUGAUCAUGGCUCAGGACGAACGCUGGCGGCGUGCUUAACACAUGCAAGUCGAGCGGAAAGGCCACUUCGGUGGUACUCGAGCGGCGAACGGGUGAGUAACACGUGAGUAAUCUGCCCUUCACUUCGGGAUAGCCCUGGGAAACUGGGAUUAAUACCGGAUACGACCGGCGCCUGCAUGGGUUGUUGGUGGAAAGUUUUUUCGGUGGAGGAUGUGCUCGCGGCCUAUCAGCUUGUUGGUGGGGUAAUGGCCUACCAAGGCUUCGACGGGUAGCCGGCCUGAGAGGGUGACCGGCCACACUGGGACUGAGACACGGCCCAGACUCCUACGGGAGGCAGCAGUGGGGAAUAUUGGACAAUGGGCGGAAGCCUGAUCCAGCAACGCCGCGUGAGGGAUGACGGCCUUCGGGUUGUAAACCUCUUUCAGCGGGGACGAAGCGCAAGUGACGGUACCCGCAGAAGAAGCACGGAUCUAACUACGUGCCAGCAGCCGCGGUA